rnacentral:rRNA from 1 species
AUACGGAGGGGGCAAGCGUUGUUCGGAUUUAUUGGGCGUAAAGCGAGUGUAGGCGGCUUGACAAGUCGGAUGUGAAAUCCCGGGGCCCAACCCCGGAACUGCACCCGAUACUGUUAGGCUAGAGUCCCGGAGAGGGUGGCGGAAUUCCCGGUGUAGGGGUGAAAUCCGUAGAUAUCGGGAGGAACACCAGUGGCGAAGGCGGCCACCUGGACGGUGACUGACGCUCAGACCCGAAAGCGUGGGGAGCAAACAGAAGUAGAAACCCCGGUAGUCC